UACAGGGGGUGCAAACGUUGCUCGGAAUCAUUGGGCGUAAAGCGCACGUAGGCGGUCUGUUAUGUCGGAUGUGAAAGCCCUUGGCUCAACUGAGGAAGUGCAUCCGAAACUGGCAGGCUAGAGUACUAAAGAGGGUCGCGGAAUUCCCGGUGUAGAGGUGAAAUUCGUAGAUAUCUGGAGGAACACCGGUGGCGAAGGCGGCAUCCUGGACCGGGAUUGACACUGAGGCGCGAAAGCCAGGGGAGCAAACGGG
rnacentral:rRNA from 1 species